CAGCCGCCGCGGUAAUACGAAGGGGGCUAGCGUUGUUCGGAUUUACUGGGCGUAAAGCGCACGUAGGCGGAUCGAUCAGUCAGGGGUGAAAUCCCAGAGCUCAACUCUGGAACUGCCUUUGAUACUGUCGAUCUGGAGUAUGGAAGAGGUGAGUGGAAUUCCGAGUGUAGAGGUGAAAUUCGUAGAUAUUCGGAGGAACACCAGUGGCGAAGGCGACACACUGGCUCAUUACUGACGCUGAGGCGCGAAAGCGUGGGGAGCAAACAGGAUUAGAUACCCCGGUAGUCCCUGUCUCUUAUAC
rnacentral:rRNA from 1 species